GGGCUGUUCGGGGUGGGCCAUCCUGGAGCCUGGCAGCCACGGGAGAAUCAGAUGUGAACUUUUGGACUCUGUCUCUCACAGAGCCAACUCGACGGAACUGGGACGGUCCUGCAAGUGGGGAUCCAAUGUGUGUGCUGCCUGCCUCCUGCUGUCCUCUCGAGGGCCACUACUGGGAAGUCUACUGCACAGUCUCCCAGCCAAGGUGGCAGCUGGAAGGACAGGGCAAGGCAAGUGUCAGGAAGUGAUGUGAGAUAUGAGAUGUAGGGCAAGGCUCCUGUCGCUGCAGCUCCCGGAUGGCUGAGCGGAUCCGCCGCCGUUCUGCCAGAUCUGCGGUGACCUCCAGCUGCAAUCACGUUUCCCAGCUUCCAAACCUUGCAUGAAAGGGGUCUGAUGGUUGGAGAAUACCCUGGGAGUGCGUGAACACUCAGCGUGACUUUUCCUAUGGAAAACAUGAAGACUCUGACUUGAGGGACGGUGAAGGUGACCGGUGGGCAUCUUUGGAGAGCCAAUCCCAUCUCCUGGCAGCAGAGAGCCUGGAGUAGCUGCCCUUGGCAGUGGUGCAGGAUGAGGUUAAGGUUCUUGCCCAAGGACACACAGGCCAACCUCAUAGGAGAGGUCAAGGCAAUUAGACCAAGUGGCUCAAGCCUCUGCCUCUAGGGGAAAGGAUUGGUGGUGGUAUGGGUCACUUGUAGAGAAAGCAUAUAUUUUUUGCCC
ensembl:processed_transcript Gm11946 predicted gene 11946